rnacentral:rRNA from 1 species
UAUUGCACAAUGGGCGCAAGCCUGAUGCAGCCAUGCCGCGUGUGUGAAGAAGGCCUUCGGGUUGUAAAGCACUUUCAGUCAGGGGGAAAGGUUAGUAGUUAAUACCUGCUAGCUGUGACGUUACUGACAGAAGAAGCACCGGCUAACUCCGUGCCAGCAGCCGCGGUAAUACGGAGGGUGCGAGCGUUAAUCGGAAUUACUGGGCGUAAAGCGUACGCAGGCGGUUUGUUAAGCGAGAUGUGAAAGCCCCGGGCUCAACCUGGGAACUGCAUUUCGAACUGGCAAACUAGAGUGUGAUAGAGGGUGGUAGAAUUUCAGGUGUAGCGGUGAAAUGCGUAGAGAUCUGAAGGAAUACCGAUGGCGAAGGCAGCCACCUGGGUCAACACUGACGCUCAUGACGAAA